CCUACGGGAGGCAGCAGUAAGGAAUAUUGGUCAAUGGACGAAAGUCUGAACCAGCCAUGCCGCGUGCAGGAUUAAGGCCCUAUGGGUCGUAAACUGCUUUUAUACGGGACAAAACCCCUCUACGUGUAGAGGGCUGAUGGUACUGUAAGAAUAAGGAUCGGCUAACUUCGUGCCAGCAGCCGCGGUAAUACGAAGGAUUCGAGCGUUAUCCGGAUUUAUUGGGUUUAAAGGGUGCGUAGGCGGGUUAUUAAGUCAGUGGUGAAAGCCUACAGCUUAACUGUAGAAUUGCCAUUGAUACUGAUGAUCUUGAGUAUGAUUGAGGUGGGCGGAAUGUGUCAUGUAGCGGUGAAAUGCUUAGAUAUGACACAGAACACCGAUUGCGAAGGCAGCUCACUAAGUCAUAACUGACGCUGAUGCACGAAAGCGUGGGGAGCAAACAGGAUUAGAUACCCUGGUAGUCCACGCCCUAAACGAUGAUCACUCGAUGUGUGCGAUACGCUGUACGCGUCUGAGCGAAAGCAUUAAGUGAUCCACCUGGGGAGUACGACCGCAAGGUUGAAACUCAAAGGAAUUGACGG
rnacentral:rRNA from 1 species